UUGCGGUGUCCGCAGCAACUCACAACGUUCCCCCUCGUUUUAUAAAUCUCUUUAUGCAUUUAUGUUUGGGUUUUCAAAAACUCAAAAAGAGUAUAGGAGUAUUUUAGAUUUUUAGGGAAAAUAGAUGUGUGUAACGCCCAGAAGGUUAACGUUUCCGAUCCCAUAAAGCAUUCUUGGUCAGCAGCAAUAGCCGAGUCGAUAGACCCAUUUCUAUCUGUCCGUCUGCCCUUCUUAUUUGAUGUCUAGUUCUCAAAGAGUGCAAGAAAGUCGAAGAUUUUUUGAUCGCUUUGGAUAAAAUGAAUAUACGCUUCUAAUAAAGAAUUUUCCAGAACUUUUAAAAAUCGAAUUUCAAACUUCCAUAUAAAAUCAUAUUUUGACAGUUUUUCGGGCGAGGUUGUGGCAGGUAAAUCGGUAUGGAAGCCGAACGGCUCCGUUCAAAAAAUAGUUCAAAGAACAUAUGCAAACAAAUUCUCGGGAACAUUUAGUGAAAUAUUUUUGUAAAUUCCAGUCAAAGUUGAAAAACUGCCCAAAAAUUCGGUACUAAUGAAUCCAUAUGCUCAGGUACACACAAUAUUAGAAUAAUUUUCCAUUUCACGCUACCUCAAUUAUGUUUUUGGUCAUGAAUAGGUAUGCAGGCUAUUAUUUCUACCUUUUUGUAGAGUUAGAAAGGUACACAUUUCUAUUUUGACUUUUUAAGGAUUCAGCGUAUAAGCCAACAUCAGUGAAAAAAACUAGUAUAUAUAAUUCAAGAAUUUAUUUUUCGUUAAAAUGGCUAUGAAAAAUACGAAGUUGUUUGAGAUACUGAGAAAUUCAAGCACCUCAAAUGAAUUAAAUUUAGUAUCGGACAGCCCAGCAUGGUCAAUUUUAAUUGAACACCAUAGCCUACCAAUUGGAGAGAUGUUAGAGGAAGUUCAGGAAACGAGAAGCAAAGAUUUAAAAAAUGCAGGAAUAUGAAUACGUGCAAGACAUCACGAAUUAAGCAAAACCAAGAUCUUUUCAACAUGUUGACAGUCUCUUCAGAUCCAUAUAUUUCAUCCAUUAGAUAUGUGAGAUCACAAAAUAAAUCGGCGAGCAAUUAUUCUUCAAAAAUGCUUAGUGAAUGCUUAGAUAUUCUUGCCACUAAACAGAAAGUGGAGAAUUAUUUUACAGAAACAAAAAGAUUCAAACAACUUUCAGUUAAAAAAAAAUGGUUUGUAAUUAAAAUUUUUGUAGAUUAGGUUGAGUUGAAAAUUAAUCAAAAAUAAUAUUUUUUUUAGUAAAAUUUACCAUUAAAAGUAUUUUAUCGAUUUAAAAAAAAUAAUACAAAUUGAGCAUUUUACAUAGGAAAAUAUGCACCGGCAACAAGGUUAAACUUUAACAGAUUAUUGUGAAGCUUUUGUAGCAUGAUUUACUUUAACUGAUUUAAUUUAACAAAAAGGCAAGUUUGUUUCAUGAAGAUAACUUUAUUCGUUCAGAAGUUAUUAAUUUAGCAAGCUGAAACGGCCAAAUGUCCCACUGUGCGCCGUCCAUGCGCUUACUUAUUUUCCGUCUCUCUCUUUCACAUACUCUUCGUCGUGAAUGUGUGCGCCGUCUGUCCGAGAAAAGCCAAAUUGAAUAAGUAUCGGGUAUAAAUGUAGAGUUGCGGUCUCCGCAGCAACUCACAACUUUCCCCCUCGUUUUUUUUUUCUCUUUGGUGUGCUUGCACGUGGUCGAUUUAGAUAUAUAUUUGCUACCGACGCGGAGAUAAUCACCGGCUGCACAUAUUUAAAUUUUCAAAAGAGAACGCUCUGGUGCUUUUGCACUGCUUAAAUAAGAGCUUACCGAUCUUAAUGCUCGGCUUCGAAAGCUCCGUUGCGAUGCGCUGCACAGCACUUACGGAAGCUUAGCUCAGCUGUUCCCUACCUCGAGCUUGCCUGCAAGGUUAUUGCAUGCGAUAUACCCGAGCACAAUAGCGAUAACCUACCCUGAAUCGGUACUGUCCAACCGCAACCGUUACACCACCCGAUAAUAUGCCACCGUUAGACAGAAUAUUAGCGGGAAUCAGAAUCGAAUGUCUUUCGCAUGAAAGGUUCCUAUUUCUCGGCCCUGCAGAUUUUCCAGAAGGUAGAAACAAUUACCCAGUGUUUUCCGAACGCGACAUUUAAGAAAUUUAGGAGCCAGUUUGGCAUUAAAAUUUUGCGUGAAUUUGCUCAAAGAAAAAUUUCGGUGAAAUACUUCCAGACCUUCUCGGAACGACACAGGCUUGGCUCGUAAAUUGUAUUGAGCAACGUUGCGCUCAUACGCUUUCUUAAUAUUGCCCUGUAUAUCUGUUCGAAUUAGAGCUAAAUUGUCUGAUCAGAUACCGGGACAACGGGUUCUUCCAGCAAGUCUAAAUCCAUCAGAAGCUUUUAAUCCGUCCCAUGCGUGAGCAUAUCUAAGCCAAACAGGGCUCGAUAUGGUGAACAACCUGACUGAUGUAGUGACGAUCGCAGCGAACAAGAUAUACUUGAGAGAUGCUGAUCCCAGUAGGUCUGAUCCUGCUGAAGAUAUGAUCGCACGGCAGCUAACAAUGAACGAUUUAUUCGUUCCGCCGCAUUACUUUGGGGAGAGUAUAAUGCCGUGUACAUAUGUUUAAUUUCCAGCUGUGUCAAAAAUGCGUUGAAUUCUGUAGCUUUGAAUUGUUUUCCAUUGUCGCUAACAAUAGUUUCAGGCACACCAUAUGUAUGAAAGAUAUGCUUUAGCAGAAAUUCUUGGAUUACUACGGAAGUAAAUUUCUUCAGGGGGUGUAGCCAAUGAUAUUUACUGAAGUGAUCUAAAACAAUUAGCAAACCAACAUGUCACUUUUUGCUGCGUGGAUAGGGUCCAAGCAGAUCUAUGUACAAUCGUUGAAAUGGUCGACAAGUUGGUAUGUGGUUUCCCAUGGGUGGCCGCAGAGUAUAAUUAGUAGCUUUGCAUGCUUUGCAAACCUCACAACUACGAAUAUACUCUCGAACAUCUUUAGCUAAGCCGGGCCAAAACAGACUUCUUCGAACUUUUUCUAUGGUCUUUUGCAUGCCGGCAUGCGCUGAAGUAGGAUUGUCAUGAGCUUGUUUAAGAACGUCGGUCUUCAAUCGCUCGGGAACCCAUAACUUCCAAGUUCGACUGUCUUGCCCCGCCUUUCCAUCUGCGUGUUCGGUUCGAAUGUACAGAAAUUGGUCGAUAAUUUUCAGAUCGGGCAGUUGAGAAGAAUUUUUCUUAUACUGUUCUUUUCACUGUUAGUAGCUCUCAUCCUGAAAGGCAUCGGAUUCGAGAUCUAUCACAGGACUCAUCUCUACUGCGGAUACAUCAGGUUCAUGUAACCGGGAAAGAGCAUCGGGGACAAUGUGAUCUUUUCCUUUUCGGUGCGAUAUCGAGAAUUUAAAUUGCUGCAAUC